rnacentral:rRNA from 1 species
GAUGAACGCUAGCUACAGGCUUAACACAUGCAAGUCGGGGGGCAGCAUGACCUAGCAAUAGGUUGAUGGCGACCGGCGCACGGGUGAGUAACACGUAUCCAACCUGCCGAUUAUUCUGGGAUAGCCUUUCGAAAGAAAGAUUAAUACUGGAUAGCAUAACGAGAAGGCAUCUUCUUGUUAUUAAAGAAUUUCGAUAAUCGAUGGGGAUGCGUUCCAUUAGUUUGUUGGCGGGGUAACGUCCCACCAAGACAUCGAUGGAUAGGGGUUCUGAGAGGAAGGUCCCCCACAUUGGAACUGAGACACGGUCCAAACUCCUACGGGAGGCAGCAGUGAGGAAUAUUGGUCAAUGGACGAGAGUCUGAACCAGCCAAGUAGCGUGAAGGAUGACUGCCCUAUGGGUUGUAAACUUCUUUUAUAUGGGAAUAAAGUGGGCCACGUGUGGCUUUUUGUAUGUACCAUACGAAUAAGGAUCGGCUAACUCCGUG